CGAGCGUCUCUAGAUCUCGUAUUUGAAUUUGUGGCGCUUGGUGUCCGCGAGUUGCCGAAUGAAGCUGAGCGUCUCAGUGGAACCAGGGAUCUCAGGGCAGUAGAAAACGGAUGAACACACCUAGAUUUCUUCCCGCGUGAAUCCAGUUGAUACAGAUAAGCUGAUUCUAAAACCUACAAGAAUGGCAAAGAAACAAGAAGAGCUUAAACUGCAAUCAUCAACAGAGAAGCCUUCUGCAACCAAAGUGAAGACUGAAGCCCUAGGCUAUGGCAGAAGUUGGGCGCCUGAAGUACACAUGGAAAUAUGCCAACUGAACAUUGGACUAUCACCGCCUGCCCCUGGCUCAGCGCCCGGUGCCAACAGAACACCUUUCAGGAUCCACAGCAACGCAGACAACAUUUUAAAGCACCUGAUGGAUUUGGAAAAUAUUUAAUGAAGACAAUGAUGCUGACAUCUCAAGUUAAAAGGUUCUACAGAGAAGGCAAAGAUUUUGAAGGCACAGGAGACUAUCAUAGAUAUUCACAACGGCAUCUCCCUAAAGGAUUUGAAAGCUUUGCAUCAACCAAAGGAAAAGCACCAGUGAGAGUCAAGAUACAGUUCUAGACAGAUGUAAUUGGUUAAGAUGAGAUCAUACUGGAUGUGGACGGGUCCUAGAUCUGACUGCUGAUAUCCUUAUAAGAAGAAGAAAGGACACGCGGAGACUACAGUGAUGUUGCCACAAGCCAAGAAAUGCCAAGAAUUUCGGGAGCCACCAGAAGAUGGAAGAGGCAGGGAAAAAUCCUCCCCUAAAGCCUUCAGAGAGAGCAUAGCUCUGCCAACACCUUGAUUCUGGACAUCUAGCCUCUUAAACUUCCUCAGGUGUCUCAUUUCUUCUGUCUCAGAAGUCAUGGAUGUCAAUGAAGAUAUGGAAUUCACUUAUUCAUUCUUAUAAAUAUUACUUAGUGUCCUUGUGCUUGGCACUGUGCUUGGUCAUUGAGAUCUACUGUUCAAAAGCAAGAUAACAUACAGGCUGGAACAGCGAGAUGCAAGAAUCCCAAGCCUUCAAAGCCAGCUCCUGCAGAAGAGAGAGGGCCUGGCAGCUGAGCUGGAUGCUUCAGGAGCAGAGGAUCUAUCAACUGCAGACCAAGCAUAGGGAGACGCAGGCAAACCUGGAACAGUAACCCAGCCAGCUCCAAUUGCUCCGACAGUACUUGGUGGCCAGAGAGUCGGCAGCAGAAAGCAUGCCCCGGGCCGUGAAGCAGGAAAUCGACUCUGACUCAAUCCUUGAGGUCUGAGCUGCCUUAACAAAGACAGAAGAUGUGACAGAUCGAGCUGCAUCUCCUUGGAUUUCCUUGGCAUCACUUGAACAUGCAAGGGCCAAAAGAAAGGAAGGAAAGGCAGAGAAAACAAAAGCUCAGCUGGAAGACACUGAAAUGGAGGCACCUACUUUCAAGCCCAGACUUUAAGAGAGGAAAUACUGAGAAGACAGGAAGCCUCACAGAGAAAGUAACCUUGUGGCCAGAUCUUGAAAGAUGAACAGGUGUUUACAGCUGGAGAAAGAGGAGUGAUGAGAGGGGACUGGGGAAGUUGUCACCUCAAGCAGAAGGGACAGCAGGUGUGAGGACAUUAAGGCACGAAAUACGUGACUGAAAUGGCAGCACCUAUCCAUAUGAGAUGACUGUCUCUUUGACAUCAAGCUUGGUAAGACUUUCUUUUGCCAGUGAAAUGUGGGUAUAAGUGAGGUGUACAACUUGCCAGCAGAAGCUUACACAGCCAUGUUAUGGUUUGAUCAUCGUUUUGUUUUGUUUUGUUUUUCCCCCAAAGUGGGGGUUUCAGUCACUUUGUCCAACUGAAAACAUUUAGUGGGUACUGCCAAAUCAAUUCAGAGAUUACAGCAGAAGGAAUGAUGGCCUUAAUCUUGAUCAUGUCUUGGGUGUGGGGCUUUUAAAAAAAUGAGCCUUAUUACUAAAGGCAUUUCUCAAUUUUAUCUUUUGCUGGUUGGAAAUUAAAAAUAGUUACAUUUUUCAAUCUCACUUACAAACUAGCAAGUUCCUUUGAGCUCUCUCUUUCUUGUAGUACCUUGUUAAAUGUAGCCAACAGAAACUAAGACACACUAGUAACAUUUUGUUUCCUAUCCUCUUCACUUAAGUUUACAAGUUCAUUAAGUACAUGAUCUGCCUUCCUGGAAAAACCAGACUUAAACAAUGCAACUUUUGAAUUCAAAAACAGAGAAAUAGCAGAAUAUGCAUUUGACAAAAUCUAAUACCCAUUCAUGAUAAAAACAGUCAACAAACUAGGAAUAGUAGAAAAAUUCCUCAACCCAAAAAAACAGCAUUUACAAAAACCCCAAAAUUAAUAUCGUAUUUAGUGGUGAAAGACUAAAUGCAUUCCCCCUAAGAUCAGGAACAAGAGAAAACAUCUACUCUCAUCAUUUCUAUUCAGCCUUGUAUUGGAGAUCUAGUGAUGAUAAUGAGGCAAGAAAAACAAUUAAAAGCUUCCAGAUUGGAAAGGAAGAAGGGAUACUCACUUUAUUUUUAGAUGGCAUGAUCUUGAAUGUAGAAAAUCUUAAGCAAUCCAUAUAAAAGCAACUCUUACAACUAGUGAACAAGUUCAGCAGUGUUGCACGACACAAGAUCAAUAGGCAAAAAAUCAAUUGUAUUUCUAUACAGUAGCAAUAAACAAUCCAAAAAUGAAAUUAAGAAAACAAUUCCAUUUAUAAUAGUAUUUUUUUAAACUUGGGAAUAAAUUUAAUAAAAGAAGUUCAAGACUUGUAACUGAAAACUGCAAAUCAUUUUGAAAGAAAUUAAAGACCUAAAUAAAUGGUCAUGGAUUGGAAGACAGCUGUCAAGAUGACAGUAUUUCCCAAAGUGAUCUACAGAUUCAACACAAUCCCUAUCAAAAUCCCAGGUGCUUGAUUUCAGAAAUUGAUAUGCUGAUACUAAUAUGCGUACAG